rnacentral:rRNA from 1 species
AUUGAACGCUGGCGGCAUGCCUAACACAUGCAAGUCGAACGGCAGCACAGGAGAGCUUGCUCUCUGGGUGGCGAGUGGCGGACGGGUGAGGAAUACAUCGGAAUCUACUCUAUCGUGAGGGAUAACGUAGGGAAACUUACGCUAAUACCGCAUACGACCUACGGGUGAAAGCAGGGGAUCUUCGGACCUUGCGCGAUUGAAUGAGCCGAUGUCGGAUUAGCUAGUUGGCGGGGUAAAGGCCCACCAAGGCGACGAUCCGUAGCUGGUCUGAGAGGAUGAUCAGCCACACUGGAACUGAGACACGGUCCAGACUCCUACGGGAGGCAGCAGUGGGGAAUAUUGGACAAUGGGCGCAAGCCUGAUCCAGCCAUACCGCGUGGGUGAAGAAGGCCUUCGGGUUGUAAAGCCCUUUUGUUGGGAAAGAAAUCCAGCUGGUUAAUACCCGGUUGGGAUGACGGUACCCAAAGAAUAAGCACCGGCUAACUUCGUGCCAGCCGCCGCCGUAA